GUGUCAGCAGCCGCGGUAAUACAGAGGGUGCAAGCGUUAAUCGGAUUUACUGGGCGUAAAGCGUGCGUAGGCGGUUCGUUAAGUCGAUUGUGAAAGCCCUGGGCUCAACCUGGGAAUUGCAGUCGAUACUGAUGGACUAGAGAACGGUAGAGGGAGGCGGAACUCCAGGUGUAGCGGUGAAAUGCGUAGAUAUCUGGAAGAACACCGAUGGCGAAGGCAACCUCCUGGGCCUGUUCUGACGCUGAGGCACGAAAGCGUGGGUAGCAAACAGGAUUAGAAACCCCCGUAGUCC
rnacentral:rRNA from 1 species